rnacentral:lncRNA from 1 species
ACUGCGCUGGUGGUUCAGCACUUCUGCAUGAGCACAAUUAAUUACAUAGGUUUUCAACAGUCACAAAGGAGGAAAAAUAUUGGUGAGAGGAAUACUUAAAAACAAAAGUGGUGAGAAUUAUUGCUCUUUGGAAUAAACUUUCUUGGGAAGAAGUGAAUUUUCCAUAUCUUGAUGUUCUCAGUUGAAGACAGAAUGCCUUCCUGGAGAAUGGACUCCAGCUGACCACAAAUUCUAUGUCCCGCUGCAGAGAGAACUGUCUGAAGAAAGUUGUGGCCUUGAAUGAUCACCGGUGUCUAUGUUCAAUUGAGUGUGACUAGAUGAAGCAGGAAUUCAAACUGAGUCUCCUCAGCAAACUGGCUGCUGAUUGAGAUGUAGCACAAUGAGAACAAAAUGGUUCCUGGAGGACAAAUUUCUAUUGAAAAGGUGAGAAAAUUAUCAGGCGCAGUCAUUCCUUCAGCUUCACUCCCAUCUGAGGAACUCGGGAGAGCCUAUUUGCCAUGAGUGAUGGCUGCAGUGACAGCCUUCCAACCAAAAUAUUAUCAGUGCUUUUGUAAAUGAACUUAGGAUAAUUUCUGUAAAAAGUCUGAGCAUUCAAAUUCUUAUUUGAAUACAGAUAAGUUCGUAUAAGUGUUUAUUGGAUUUUAUCUACCUCUCUUGCUUUGUAAUGAGAACACUGUAACUGUAUAACUGUCUGCCCC